rnacentral:misc_RNA from 1 species
UUUCCGUAGGUGAACCUGCGGAAGGAUCAUUACCGAGUCAUUGAACCCCACACUUUGUGGGGCCAAUCUCCAACCCAAUGCUUACCCUGCACCUUUGUUGCCUUGGCAUGCGAGCCAGUCUGCGCCAGUGGUCGCGUGCACGCAUGCCAGUGGAUCCUACCAAACUCGUCAACUCUGUCGUAUGGUUAUCAAAUACUAUAAAACUUUCAACAACGGAUCUCUUGGUUCUAGCAUCGAUGAAGAACGCAGC